rnacentral:rRNA from 1 species
GAUGAACGCUAGCUACAGGCUUAACACAUGCAAGUCGAGGGGUAACGAGAGGAAAGCUUGCUUUCCUUGUCGACGACCGGCGCACGGGUGAGUAACGCGUAUCCAACCUGCCCCUAACUAAGGAAUAACCUUGCGAAAGUAAGACUAAUACCUUAUAAUUUCCUCAGAUGACAUCUGACGAGGAAUAAAGAUUUAUCGGUUGUGGAUGGGGAUGCGUCUGAUUAGCUUGUUGGCGGGGUAACGGCCCACCAAGGCAACGAUCAGUAGGGGUUCUGAGAGGAAGGUCCCCCACAUUGGAACUGAGACACGGUCCAAACUCCUACGGGAGACAGCAGUGAGGAAUAUUGGUCAAUGGGCGGAAGCCUGAACCAGCCAAGUAGCGUGCAGGAUGACGGCCCUAUGGGUUGUAAACUGCUUUUAUACAGGAAUAAAGUUAGCCACGUGUGGUUAUUUGUAGGUACUGUAUGAAUAAGGACCGGCUAAUUCCGUGCCAGCCGCCGCGGUAA